rnacentral:rRNA from 1 species
CCUACGGGUGGCAGCAGUGGGGAAUAUUGCACAAUGGGCGCAAGCCUGAUGCAGCCAUGCCGCGUGUGUGAAGAAGGCCUUCGGGUUGUAAAGCACUUUCAGCGGGGAGGAAGGCGUUAAGGUUAAUAACCUUGGCGAUUGACGUUACCCGCAGAAGAAGCACCGGCUAACUCCGUGCCAGCAGCCGCGGUAAUACGGAGGGUGCAAGCGUUAAUCGGAAUUACUGGGCGUAAAGCGCACGCAGGCGGUCUGUCAAGUCGGAUGUGAAAUCCCCGGGCUCAACCUGGGAACUGCAUUCGAAACUGGCAGGCUAGAGUCUUGUAGAGGGGGGUAGAAUUCCAGGUGUAGCGGUGAAAUGCGUAGAGAUCUGGAGGAGUACCGGUGGCGAAGGCGGCCCCCUGGACAAAGACUGACGCUCAGGUGCGAAAGCGUGGGGAGCAAACAGGAUUAGAUACCCCUGUAGUC